UACGGAGGGUGCGAGCGUUGUCCGGAAUCACUGGGCGUAAAGGGCGCGUAGGUGGCGGCCCAAGUCCAUGGUGAAAGCUCGAUGCUCAACAUCGAGUCGGCCACGGAUACUGGGUUGCUCGAGCACUGUAGGGGCAGAUGGAAUUCCGGGUGUAGCGGUGGAAUGCGUAGAGAUCCGGAAGAACACCGGUGGCGAAGGCGGUCUGCUGGGCAGUUGCUGACACUGAGGCGCGACAGCGUGGGGAGCAAACAGG
rnacentral:rRNA from 1 species